ACCAUACAUCAGUCAUCUGGCAGCAGCUCGAGAAGCAUGUCCUCCACGCCGUCAAUCUGAGAGGCAGAGAGAGAGAGAAGGCAUUGAUCGGCCAGAGCCCUCCACUCCCUCCAUUCCUCACUCCUGCGCCUUCCCCUAGCUGGAAACAGCAGGCUGGAAUGCAAUGGUGUGAUCUUGGCUCACUGCGACCUCCACCUCCUGGGUUCAAGCGAUUCUCCUGCUUCUGCCUCCCGAGUAGCUGGGAUUACAGACAAAGAAUUCAAGACUAAACUGGGCAUGGUGACACGCACCUGUAGUCUCAGCUACUUGGGAGGCUGAGGCAGGAGAAUCACAUGAACCUGGCAGGCGGAGGUUGCAGUGAGCCGAGAUUGUGCCACUGCACUCCAGCCUGGCCACAGAGCGAGACUCCGUCUCAAAAAAAAAAAAAAAAGAAAAAAAGAAAAAAGAAGAAGUCAAGACUAAGAAGAGUGAAGUAUGAAGUAAUUCACCCACAGACACCCAGCUAGUGAGUGGCAGACCUGGAAGACAAACUAGUUCUGUUUGGCAUCAGAAUCUAUGCUGUCAGCCACCUCACCACAUUCAUGUGACAUCCAACAAAGUGGUGCCUUCACCUGCUACUAAGUCUUGCUAGGGCUAGUUCCAGAGCCAAGACUAUGAAGUGGACAAUGAUCUA
rnacentral:lncRNA from 1 species